AUGGUUAAGAUAACUCUAGCACGAGGACAAAGAUAUGUGAAUGAAGAAAAUUCCUAUCUUUCAUCUUACAAGCAACAAGCUGAGUUUAUACUCCAAGAAAUUUCAAAAGGAGCAUUGUCACAUUCCAUGAUGACCAUUCUCAUUGACCAUUAUAGCUUCAAGUAUUCUUAUUAUAAUUUUUUUUCUUCUAUUUUUCUUCUCUGUUUUUUUAACUUCUUUAAUCAUCAUUGA